CUUGGCAGUCCGGAGCCCACCGGGUUCCCGCGGAUGAAUAAUUAAGCUUCUGUCAAGUAAAUAUGCUUUAGCACCAUCACACCCACUUGUAAAGGGAACAGAGAAACAAACGAGAGAGACGUGCGCGGUGACCACGGACAGGUGGAAGGCGGUACAGCCGGGUCAAGAACUGCAGUUGUAGAAAAUGACCUUGAACUCCUGGUUCUCUUGCCUUUGACCCUCAAGGGCUGGGAGUGUGCCACCACGCUCAGCUCCUUUUCACGACCCAGUUCAGGAGUCCUCAAUACUUUGAAAGGAUGUCCAGGAACUGGUGGAGCCAAACUCAGACGCAAUGGAGCCCUAAUCUAAGCCUGGUGUGCCCUCUGGAGUUCACCAGUCCCUGAAUACUUCCACAUGCAAUUCUU